AUUUCGUAGGACAAUUGGCUAAUUUAGCCUUUCUUGGAUCAGUCUAAGCUACGUAGAAGAAGAGAUAGAGAAGAAGAAGUAAAAUAAGGAGGAGGAGGAGGAGGAGGAGGAGAAGAAGAAGGAAGAGGAGAAGAAGAAGAAAACAAGAAGGAGAAGGAGAAGAAGAAGGAGAAGGAGAAGGAGGAAGAAGGAGGAAGAAG
rnacentral:lncRNA from 1 species